UCCCUUCCCCGCGCCGCUGCCCCACCUCCCACCACCGCGCCGCACCAGAAGCUCCCUCCCCCUCACUGCCCGCCCCGACCACCGCGAUGGAUUUGAGCAGCCCCUGCCAUCCCGCGCCCAACCGGCGAUGGAUCCGAGCUCCUCCUCCACGUGCCUCCUCCCAACCCCAUGCUAUGCAUCUCGGUGUAUCCCCCGGAUGCGGCGAGACCUUGCCCAUUCAGGUGGUGCGACUCCUGGUGGAGAUAGGCCAGAUCGAGCACACAUGGCUAGCGGGAGUGGUCGGUCCUCCCUUCUGACGAGCACCAUGACACUGAGAUCUCGCUUGGCCCUCCCUUCCCUUGCUUCCUCUGCUCGCCGGUCUCUCCUCCCUGAUCUGUAGAUCACCCGCAGCACCCUAUUCCAUGAUGCAAUUUGUUUCGGUCGUCGACGUCGUCGACACCAUAGAUCAUGGAGCCAUUGUCCAUGUAAUCAAUUUUGCCUGCUGUUACAGUCCAUCCCAUGGGCACAGGAGGGCGUCGGGCAAUGCACUUUGGAGUUUUUACCCAUUCCAGAGAUGUAGUGCAGUUUGGAGUUUUUUGUGUGUUGAGAAACUUCAGAAAUUGCACUCUGACUAAUUUUCUCUAGUGCAAAUAAUGUUAUUACAAUUAGUUUUGGUUACGUAUUGGCAGUGCGGUUUAUAGCUCAUGGUGCUUCAGUGCUGAAUUUGGCGUGGUGGACGGCAAUGUGUGUGUGUGUGUGUGUGUGUGUGUGUGUGUGUGUGUGUGUGUGUGUGUGUAUGUGAGUCUGUACAUAUAUGCCUGUAUGGUGUCAUGUUUUAUACCGUAGAUUUUUCUAUGUCGCAUACAUGUAUGCAUGUAUGUAAUCCUCAGAGUCCCAGGUCAACGGCGGAUGUAGCCCAUGCAGUUCGUAUGGUUGUGUGGUGCGGUCAAAUAUUUUUUUACUA